UAAGUGUGGGGAUAAGGUGUGAAUGGAAGUGUGAGGCGAGGCUCUUCCGGACUGUCCAAUCUAUCCGCGUCAUCUGUUGCUUCCGGAGGGGUCAUGCCGUCACCCACACUCUCCGGGCCAGAGGGAACGUUGUCAUCACUCGUAUCCGGCAUGCGCGCUGCCGACUCCUGCUUGUCAUCAUUUUUAGGUUCGUAGUUGGUGCGUAGAUGACGGGAUGUGCGCCUUCUUCCAUCUGUCAGUAUGUAUGAUCUUGGCGCUUCAUGUUGUUCUCUAACACUGCUAGGUGUCCAUUUCUCUCGUUCACGAACCAGCACAUCGUCACCUGGCCUGAAUUCUGGUCGUUCUUUUGCAGUUCGGUUAUAGUAGUACUCCUGGCGAGCUUGUUGCUUUUGAAGACCUGCCGCAGGGUCCACCGUCUUGGGUUCCAGCUUUUUCGCUGGCAUUGGCAGUCGGUCCCGCAGCCUGCGUCCCAUGAGCACCUGUGCUCGGCUGUAUUCUGUGCCGGAGAUUCUGGUGUUCCGAUAGUUCAGCAGCGCCAACUCUGGAUCCAUUGAGUGGUCUUCCAGCGCUUUUUUCAUAAUUCGUUUCACUAUUUUCACCAUAUUUUCACUUUUUCCAUUGCUUUGGCUGUAUGUCGGUGAGCUUGUGACUAUUUUGAAUUGCCACUCUUUUGCAAAUUCCUUCAUCUCUUUGCUCGCGUAUGGCAUGUUGUCUGCUAUCAUGACUUCCGGUAUGCCGUGGCGAGAGAAGAUGUUCUUGAGCUUGGUAAUGACAGCUGCCGAGGUUUUGGUCGUGCCUAGACAGUUGACUUCUGGGUACUUUGAAGUGUAGUCAGCUACGACCAGGUACUAGCGUCCAUUGAACUCCAGUAUGUCACUCCCAAGCUUGGUCCAAGGUAGUUUUGGUAUCUCAUGUGGUAGCAUUGGUUCACGGCAGUUGCUUGGUUGGAAUCGCUGACACACUGGGCAUCGCUUGACCAUGUCUUCAAUAUCUUGC